rnacentral:rRNA from 1 species
UCGGGAAUUUUGGGCAAUGGGCGAAAGCUUGACCCAGCAACGCCGCGUGAAGGAUGAAGUAUUUCGGUAUGUAAACUUCGAAAGAAUAGGAAGAAUAAAUGACGGUACUAUUUAUAAGGUCCGGCUAACUACGUGCCAGCAGCCGCGGUAAUACGUAGGGACCAAGCGUUGUUCGGAUUUACUGGGCGUAAAGGGCGCGUAGGCGGCAAUUCAAGUCAUCUGUGAAAUCUCCGGGCUUAACUCGGAACGGUCAGAUGAUACUGCUUUGCUAGAGUGCAGAAGGGGCAAUCGGAAUUCUUGGUGUAGCGGCGAAAUGCGUAGAUAUCAAGAGGAACACCUGAGGUGAAGACGGGUUGCUGGGCUGACACUGACGCUGAGGCGCGAAAGCCAGGGGAGCAAACGGGAUUAGAUACCCCAGUAGUCCCUGAGCGGGCUGGCAAGGCGCAU